GGGAUUUUAAGGAGCUUGCUCUUAUGAAGUUAGCGGCGGACGGGUGAGUAACACGUGGGUAACCUGCCCAUAAGACUGGGAUAACUCCGGGAAACCGGGGCUAAUACCGGAUAACAUUUUGAACCGCAUGGUUCGAAAUUGAAAGGCGGCUUCGGCUGUCACUUAUGGAUGGACCCGCGUCGCAUUAGCUAGUUGGUGAGGUAACGGCUCACCAAGGCAACGAUGCGUAGCCGACCUGAGAGGGUGAUCGGCCACACUGGGACUGAGACACGGCCCAGACUCCUACGGGAGGCAGCAGUAGGGAAUCUUCCGCAAUGGACGAAAGUCUGACGGAGCAACGCCGCGUGAGUGCAGGAAGGCUUUUCAGCUUCGUACAACACUUCCGCUGCUCACGGAAGAACUAAGCUGGCUAGCUGAAUAAUGCUGAGCACCUUGAACGGGUACCUAACCAUGAAUAGCCACGGCUAACUAUCGGUGCCCAGCAUGCCUGCGGGUAAUUACCGUAGGGUCGGCAAAGGCGUUAUUCCGGAAUUAAUUGGGGCGUAAAGGCGCGGCGCAGGGUGGUUUUUCUUAAGUCUUGAAUGGGAAAGCCCACGGGCUUCAACCGUGGAGGGGUUCAUUGGAAACUGGGAGACUUGGAGUGCAGAAGAGGAAAGGGGAAAUUCCAUGGUGUAGCGGGUGAAAUGCGUAGAGGAUAUGGAAGAACCACCAGUGGCGGAAGGCGACUUUCUGGUUCUGUAACUGACCACUAAGGCGCGGAAAGCGUGGGGAGCAAACAGGAAUUGAGAUACCCUGGUAAUCCACCCCGUUAAACGAUGAAUGCUAAGUGGUUAGAGGGUUUCCGCCCUUUAGUGCUGAAGUUAAGCGCAUUAACCACUCCGCCUGGGGAAUACGGCCGGCAAGGCUGGAAACUCCAAAGGAAAUGACGGGGCGCCGCACCAAGCGUGGGGAACAUGGGGUUUAAUUCAAACCAACCCGAGAAGGACCUUACCAGGUUCUUGGCCUUCUUUGGCCACCCUUAGAAAUAGGGUUUUUCUUUGGGGACAGAAGGGCAGGUGGGGCAUGGGUGUUGUCAGGUUGGGUUGGGGGAAGGUGGGGUAAAUCCCGCCACGGAGGCCACCCCUGAUUUUUAGUUCCCUCAAUUAAGUGGGCCAUUUUAGGGGGCUUCCGGGGGCCAACCGGGGGGAGGGGGGGGAGGCGUUAAAUUCUUAAUCCCCUUUAGGCCUGGGGUUCCCCCGGUGUUCCAAGGGCGGUUCCAAGAAGUGCCAAGCCGGGAGGGGGAAGUUAUUUUAUUAAACCGUUUUCAAUUUGGAAUGUUGGGUGGCAAUUGCCUUCCAGGAAGUGGGAUUGGUUGUUAUUGGGGGUUCACAAUCCGCGGGGGAAUCGUUUCCGGGCCUUGGUCCCCCCCCCCGUUCCCCCCCGGAAAAGUUGGAACCCACCCGCAAAGGUG
rnacentral:rRNA from 1 species